GACAGAGGUGCCGAGCGUUAGGCGGAAUCACUGGGCUUAAAGCGUGUGUAGGCGGGCGGGCAAGUACCUUGUGAAAUCCCACGGCUCAACCGUGGAACGGCUGGGUAUACUGCCUGUCUUGAGCCAACUAGGGGCGAGCGGAACAGACGGUGGAGCGGUGAAAUGCGUAGAUAUCGUCUGGAACGCCGAAGGUGAAAACAGCUCGCUGGGGUUGUGCUGACGCUGAGACACGAAAGCUAGGGGAGCGAACGGG
rnacentral:rRNA from 1 species